GAUGAAGAACGUAGUGAAAUGCGAUACGUAAUGUGAAUUGCAGAAUUCAGUGAAUCAUCGAAUCUUUGAACGCAUAUUGCGCUCUCUGGUAUUCCGGAGAGCAUGCUUGUUUGAGUAUCAGUAAACACCUCAACUCCCUUUUCUUUUUUGAAAUUGGAGCUGGACUUGAGUGAUCCCAACGCUUUCUUCCAAGAAAGUGGCGGGUUGCUUGAAAUGCAGGUGCAGCUGAACUUUUCUCUGAGCUAUAAGCAUAUCUAUUUAGUCUGCCUAAAAAACAGAUUAUUACCUUUGCUGCAGCUAACAUAAAGGAGACUAGUUCUUGUGCUGACUGAUGCAGGAUUCACAAAGACAGGCUUCGGCCGACUUUGUAAACUCGAUCUCAAAUCAAGUAAGACUACCCGCUGAACUUAAGCAUAUCAAUAAGCGGAGGA
rnacentral:misc_RNA from 1 species